CUAAAUGUGCAAUGAUAAGCUGGUGUGGUCAACAACUAGAGGUUCUAGUCCAUAACUUUCCAUUUGUUUUGGUUUUCACACGCAUCAUGUUAGCUAGAUUAAAAAAAAUAAGAGCCACAAGAGGGGAGAUGUGAUAUUAUUUCUAGCUCAUGUGUUGAUUCUUGAGUUCAAAAAUAAAGACAAGUCAAAAGCACCAACAUUAUCAGGUAAAAUCACUAUAUAUCAACAUAAUAAACUACUAACAAACAUUUGUGUCAAAUCAAGCGCUAGAUAAAAACUCAAAUGCUUGGCUUUAAAAAUUAUGAUUUGUCAGCUAGUUCAAAUGCCUAGCUUAUAUACUAGCAACUUGUGCCAAAUCAAGUGCUAGAAGAACAACAAAAGACCAGCUCGCGCGUGGUAGCGACUCACUGAGACAUUGGACUAGAAAUGUUUGGAUCAAGACACACGAGCGCACACACAUAGCAGCAACAGAUCGAGGUAUUGACAGGACGGGAUGAUUGGUCAGGCAAUACCAAUAGGCUUUGUUUGCUGAGCCCAACUGCACUUGCUACCACUCAAUGAGCACGGAUCACGCAGCUAGUACAUGCUAUUACCGGAGCUCUCCUAAUCCGUUCAAGGCGCAAGACACGCCUCUCCGAGCCUAGUCCGUGAGCACAACAUCCUUGUCGGAGAGCUUGGGAUCUUCAUCUUUCAGUCGAUUUGAAUCAUGGAAACAAAUGAUGUGCCAGGAUGCGUAGCACCUACUUCCUCGUUGCCUCUUAAUCCAUGCAUCACAUUUAUGAUCAUCAACUCAGCUCUUGUGCAAUAAUAACACUAGAGGGUUUGCACUUUUGCGAUGAUGGUGAUGAGUGAAUAGGUGAGCCCGACUGCCGGAUGAUGUUGCAUUGCAUGUGCCUCCAGUCAUGUCGAUGUAUAUAAUUGUGUAAUGAUCAAUCAGCUCAAGUAAGUGAAUAUAUGUCCCUGGUUGGUGGUGACCCCUUCCACCUAUAAAAAACGACCGACCGACCUAGCUAGCUGGUGAGUAGAGAACAUGGCUGCACAAGGUUUCAUAGAAGUUCUGUAGAACGAGUGAGUUGAUAUAGCCAACUUCGCUAUGUGGGGUGGAGUUCCUCCUUGCGAAAAAACAUCGCUCUACUCUCUUCUUUCUUGUUGAUUGUUUGAAAUAGCUAAGUGCUUAUGCCAAGCGAUGACACCAUCGCUCUUCUCGUCGGUACAUAAAAAGAUGAAAAUCAAAGUGUAACAUUGAAGCUUANN
rnacentral:lncRNA from 1 species